rnacentral:rRNA from 1 species
GGGCCAAGGGGCCGCCGUCAUGGCGGUCCGCCUGGGGAUGGGCUCGCGGCCCAUUAUGCUCGUUGGUGAGGUAACGGCUCACCAAGGCGACGAUGGGUAGCUGGUCUGAGAGGAUGAUCAGCCACACUGGAACUGAAGGACGGUCCAGACUCCUACGGGAGGCAGCAGUGGGGAAUUUUGCGCAAUGGGCGAAAGCCUGACGCAGCAACGCCGUGUGGGUGAUGAAGGCCCUCGGGUUGUAAAGCCCUGUCCGGAGGGAAGAAACCCUUGCAUGACCUGCAAGGCUGACGGUACCUCCGAAGGAAGCACUGGCUAACUCCGUGCCAGCAGCCGCGGUAAUACGGAGAGUGCAAGCGUUGUUCGGAAUUACUGGGCGUAAAGGGCGUGUAGGCGGCUAGGUAAGUCGGAUGUGAAAGCCCUCGGCUCAACCGAGGAAGUGCAUUCGAUACUGCUUAGCUAGAGUACGGGAGGGGGGAGUGGAAUUCCCAGUGUAGAGGUGAAAUACGUAGAUAUUGGGAGGAACAACAGUGGCGAAGGCGAAUCCCUGGACCGAUACUGACGCUGAUACGCGA